rnacentral:tRNA from 1 species
GGUGACUCAGUGGUAGAGAAUUUGCCUUGCAUGCAUGAGGCCCUGGGUUCGAUUCCCCAGCACCA